rnacentral:rRNA from 1 species
GAUGAACGCUGGCGGCGUGCCUAAUACAUGCAAGUCGAGCGAACGGACGAGAAGCUUGCUUCUCUGAUGUUAGCGGCGGACGGGUGAGUAACACGUGGAUAACCUACCUAUAAGACUGGGAUAACUUCGGGAAACCGGAGCUAAUACCGGAUAAUAUUUUGAACCGCAUGGUUCAAAAGUGAAAGACGGUCUUGCUGUCACUUAUAGAUGGAUCCGCGCUGCAUUAGUUAGUUGGUAAGGUAACGGCUUACCAAGGCAACGAUGCAUAGCCGACCUGAGAGGGUGAUCGGCCACACUGGAACUGAGACACGGUCCAGACUCCUACGGGAGGCAGCAGUAGGGAAUCUUCCGCAAUGGGCGAAAGCCUGACGGAGCAACGCCGCGUGAGUGAUGAAGGUCUUCGGAUCGUAAAACUCUGUUAUUAGGGAAGAACAUAUGUGUAAGUAACUGCGCACAUCUUGACGGUACCUAAUCAGAAAGCCACGGCUAACUACGUGCCAGCAGCCGCGGUAAUACGUAGGUGGCAAGCGUUAUCCGGAAUUAUUGGGCGUAAAGCGCGCGUAGGCGGUUUUUUAAGUCUGAUGUGAAAGCCCACGGCUCAACCGUGGAGGGUCAUUGGAAACUGGAAAACUUGAGUGCAGAAGAGGAAAGUGGAAUUCCAUGUGUAGCGGUGAAAUGCGCAGAGAUAUGGAGGAACACCAGUGGCGAAGGCGACUUUCUGGUCUGUAACUGACGCUGAUGUGCGAAAGCGUGGGGAUCAAACAGGAUUAGAUACCCUGGUAGUCCACGCCGUAAACGAUGAGUGCUAAGUGUUAGGGGGUUUCCGCCCCUUAGUGCUGCAGCUAACGCAUUAAGCACUCCGCCUGGGGAGUACGACCGCAAGGUUGAAACUCAAAGGAAUUGACGGGGACCCGCACAAGCGGUGGAGCAUGUGGUUUAAUUCGAAGCAACGCGAAGAACCUUACCAAAUCUUGACAUCCUUUGACAACUCUAGAGAUAGAGCUUUCCCCUUCGGGGGACAAAGUGACAGGUGGUGCAUGGUUGUCGUCAGCUCGUGUCGUGAGAUGUUGGGUUAAGUCCCGCAACGAGCGCAACCCUUAAGCUUAGUUGCCAUCAUUAAGUUGGGCACUCUAAGUUGACUGCCGGUGACAAACCGGAGGAAGGUGGGGAUGACGUCAAAUCAUCAUGCCCCUUAUGAUUUGGGCUACACACGUGCUACAAUGGACAAUACAAAGGGCAGCGAAACCGCGAGGUCAAGCAAAUCCCAUAAAGUUGUUCUCAGUUCGGAUUGUAGUCUGCAACUCGACUACAUGAAGCUGGAAUCGCUAGUAAUCGUAGAUCAGCAUGCUACGGUGAAUACGUUCCCGGGUCU